AGCUUGAUUAUAACAAUAAGGCACCUCGGUGAAGACACAAGACCAUGUGGCCGAGACAUUACCUUCGCUUUCGAGCGUACUACGCAUUUCUACUCAGAGGGAUACCUUUGUUUAGAUGUGCUUCGGAGAGUCGUGAGAUUUUCUGAUUGCGGGAGGCUGAACCAACCGCUGUUAGAGGUAAUGGUGCUGAAGUAAUUGCUGAUAAAAACAUUGUCUCAUUGCUAUCGCAAUAGAAAGCUAGGCGUCAAAAGCGUAAGCCGAAUCCAAGUAAGGGUGUAGAUUGGUCGUCUAUACUAAACCUUGGAAAAGACCAAUAAGGUAGUUUGCUGUGAUGGUAUGGAAACAUACCUAUAAGAUGAGGUCAAAGUCCGAGUAGCUACAAGCAAGGACUCUUGUAAAAAAGAAAUUACUAAGGAAAUUUCUGAAUGGUUAGUGAAAGGUGCGAGUAACCAAUCUCGUAUAGGAAUUGAUACUUUGUAUCGGGGCAAGAACUUAUAGAGCGACGGCUCUAUGGGUCAGACUUGUCUCCCUAUUGGUUGAAUAUAUCAGAAAAUUAUGGAGGUAGGGUGAAGGCCCGCCUUGUAGUUAUAAUCAAG
rnacentral:sRNA from 12 species